rnacentral:lncRNA from 1 species
GUCGCUUCUGCUGACGGAAGCCGCCGGGAAAAACCGACUUUCAUUAAGCACUGCCUGCUGGCGGCCCUCUGCCCCCCCGACACCCACCGAUCUUCCCUGACUCAGCGAACGGUUCAGCUGCGUAUAACUCCUUCAAAAGCAUUCUUCCCGUUAGGCAUUGAAUUUGCGAUAUAGAUUCAAGGAAGCCCGACUCCCGCCCGUCGCUCAUGAUACGCAUGUGUGGCCAUUGCGGGGGGUCAACACUCCAACACUGUGAACGUGAACCAUUAGUGACUUGGGCCACAUCGUGUCGGCGUCGUUUUCAAACUUUUUGUUUGCGCAGGGAAAACACUUUGCUCCGUGAUAUUUCCUUGUUGUCUCCAAGUUUGGAGGGGCGGGACGGGGGGUCCAUUGUCCCUCGACACACUCUUCACGACCCAGCCACCACUUCGUCGUAGGUUUUCUAGUCCCAUUUUUGUGCUCUUCAUCUCGACACAAAGAUGCAGCCUACAUGCACGCCGAUCAUGUCCCGAACGGAGCCGGGCGGGCGCAAGGCCACUGCGUCUCAGCAACGCUCGCAGCGCUCAAUUCGACCGCCGUUUCCCGCUCCCUUACACUCGACUCGUCUGCUUCUCCGGCGUGGCUCUAGCCGACUCGCCGCAGCUGUCUUCUUGGCGGCUCUUGCAUGUUUAUUUUUCCUCGACUUUAACCUUCGGGUGCCCACAGCCGUGGCAGCCGGCUCUGUCUUUCCGGAAGCAGAACCUCAUGAUAAUACAGAAGCGGUGUUUGCACUGGAUGACGACGCAAGGAGGGGGAGCGCCGACGAUCUAUCAGGACAAGAAUCGAGUGCGAGCACUUCUCAAGCCACCUCCCGACGGAGUACAGAUCCGACCUCCACGAAGCGCGUUUCAGCUGUCCAGCGUCGCGUAGGCGCUCGUCGAAUUUCAGUUCUUGGCACAGUUUUAGGUGGUGUACUUGCUGUCCUCUACUUCGCCAAGUUUUUCAAGCGGGGCAAAACAAGGAGUGAAGCUCCACAACCGGAAUCAGCCCGCUAGUACGCCGACAGCUGCUACCCUCGAUGGGAGAGUCGUGCUGCUGCUGUGUUGGGGGUCCGCGAAUUGACUCCCUCGUCGAGAAGUCCCGUCCUUGUGCUAGAAGCUGUCAAGAGAGGGUUUGCAGGUGAAGGAUACUUAGGAAUCUUGUGACUUGUGGCAAACGAUGGGAUGCCGCUUCGACAUCGGAGCACGCGAAUGAGACGGUGAUGCGAGCAACUCAUGAGACUGAUGAUCCUAGCUAGAUAUGCCACAAGCUAUUGCCGGGGAGCUCACUGCUUUGACAUCUGAAAGCGUUCCAUCAGGCAGGACUCUGAUGAGUGUGUCAGGGGGCUGAGAAGCGUAUGCAGCAACCCGAGCGAAUCUGUAACCGAACGGAGUUUUGUUUGAGUGUACAGCUGGCCCAUGGCCGGUAAAGGACAUGCAUCGCGAAGGCCAUAGCAACUUUCUCGAAACGAGCGUCAGGGAAGAUGACUACAGCCACAGCUGUUACUGUCUGCGAGCAGGGGGUAGACGCCUCCUGUUUGGCUGGCUCCUCCACUUCUGUUGCUGACCGAACAGACGGAAUUUUCAAUGGGACCAUUCGGACGAUACGAUGAGCCGAAGAUUCGUGGGUCUAUUCUGGGCAAACAACUAAGUGGCCUUGGCGACUGUCUCUGCAUUGAGUCGCCGAUCUUGAUUGCAAACGAAGAUGCUGUCAAGUUUUCCGGCGGUCUUUUCUGGUGACAGCCGGCUUCAGCCAUCUGGAAGAAGAGGCCCGUAUCCGGUCCUCGCAGUUCUUCCACACGGUCGGGCGACAACCAGGGCCUACGCGACGAAGUUGAAUUUUUUCAUGCAUUAUUUUCCAGGCCGUUCGCAGCAACUAGCGCUCGAAUGGCUGUGGCCUUGUAUGCAACAACUCGUUAGGUUGAGCGUUGGUUGGUAGUAGCCCUUCUCACUGAUCGAGAGAUACUGGCUUGUCUCAUUAUCCGCUGGAGAGCUGCACACCGUGUGCCCAUCCUCCCCACAGACUCUAACGAGUGGAAGUGACUCCCGGCUGCAUUGCCACUCGGAAACGCUUGACUCCCCAUUGCCGGAGGUGAAGAUAGAUAUGUCGUCGUUGCGGGCGAAAGGGGGAGCUAGCAUUUUUUUUGUAGCUUACUUUUCGUAGUGUACGGUACGUCCCCCCGGUUUUUGUCUCCAUCGUUUGCUUGAAGAGUCUCGGCCGCUGUCCUCUGUUGUGUGUCCCAUCAGGCAAUCAUAGAAAAGACAGCACAGUUGCUCGAAGAGCCUGUAAGUCUCAUACACUUGCCUCGUGGGAUCUGUAGCCGACGGCAGAACCGUCUUUCGCAUGUCGUCACCCCUGGAAACUUUCCUCUGUAUUUUACGUAGAGAAAUCAUACCUGGCGGCAAGCAAGGCGGUGCUGAUGAUGCAUAUGUGACACAAUGUACCAUACUGCGGCCACGCUGACGGGAAGGAUGUAUGGCUGGCGUCCCCGACCGUGGGGUGUAUGCGACCGACGGGUCUUCGCUGCCGUCGCGUGGCCGCAGCGAGGUAAACGGUCUGGUCUGUUUGAGAGGGGCCACCGACUGUAUUGCUUACCGUGGGGGUCUGCCUAAUUGACAACGCUAGACUGGUCGUUGGAGUUAUUGUUCCUCUGUGCUCACGGGGCGGUGUUAAGCGUCAGGAAAAGUCUGUAGGUUGGUGGUACUGCUGAGCGGAGUGUCUCACCUCAAGACAUCUCAGGAGUGGGAGUUGUUUGCGUCUUCUUGCGUGGAACGACAAAAGAGAACGGCCAGCGACAAUGAGGUUCGGUGCAGAGUUGUUGUACAACAGUGCCACACAAGUUCGAAAGAAACUCCCGUGGUUGAAAGGAUCCUCGGGACCACAGCAAAUGCCACCAGAGGCUGUGGCUCAGGCAAAUAUAGUCCCCAGUGCCUUGGCUAAGGGAUUCUGGAAAUCAAACCUGCCACAAAGGGGAAUCGUUUCGCAUACCAAAUGCUGCAUGCACGUCUCUGAUGGUGCUCGCUCGUGCAAACAGGAAGACGUCAUUCCUAGGAAGGGUCAGGGUUUUCCCAUGAACGUGUAGACCAUUCGUUCUGCCCCGGAAUGACUUGUGAAGGACUACGAUCUUUGGCGAUGCUGUUGAGACUAACUAAUGAAGUAGUCCGCUUCUCCUGUAACUCGAUGGAAUUGCUAAGCAAACGCAACACGACACGAUCAACCCAAUCCGGGGUUGAUUUCCACUAAUUUUUGUUCAAACGUAUCGACGACCAAACUGCUGCACGGCAAACAGUUGCCGGGACUGGUCUGCGGGCGUUCAUGUUCAUUCGAUUAAUCAGCUUGCCCAAAAAGGUGCACAUGCGCAAAACGCAGCAUGUUUCCUGCCGCCCUUCUCGUACCCGUCUACACCGUGUAGCUGAAUAAGUUUCAAUAAGCUGCAAUGUUGUUGCGCUGAAAGCACGCCGUAAACCGUGGCCAUGUGAAUGUUCGCGUGCCCUCCGUGUUCGAAGCCUGAGUUGUGGACAAGCGGAAGCUCUUGCGCACUCCCACAAUUUUGUCAGCGUUUCAUGCCAUGAGAUGCACUCCUCGUUUUCUUUAGAUGUGGAACAAGAAAGUACGUAUUGAGGUGGCUUCCCCCUCAUGAGCGUGGCCAUCCCUUGCGCAAUGGACCUUCUCUUGUUCUAUUAUCUUUUGUCGCCGUCUGCCAAUAACCGCACCAAAUGCACGUAGCCUCAGCCAUUACCGCCUGCCGAGGUGCUGUUGAGCGCCGAUGCUGGUUGCUAAACAGAGUGACAUUCACGGCUACGAGAAAGCCUGGACCUCAGGCUUUCCGUUUCACAACGUACUUGGUCUUGGAAUUGUCACGGGGCUUGCGCUCCAACACAGCUCGCGUGUGGUGUGCUGUUGUGCGAUUUGUAGGUGGCUGCCGGUCUAGCAACGGCUGCCGCUGCUGUAACGCUCGUGAGUUUGCGUGCUUCAUCGGAGAGCCUUUUGAGUGCCCCCGCGCUUCCAACGUUAUCCUAAUGACUGUAGUCAGCUCAGAGUUGAAAGAAGCACUGGGCGACAUUUGCAUCGGCGUCUACUCGACGAAAUCACCUGGGUUUGACAGAUGGAUGACUUCUUCACACGUCAUAUCCAGUUCGUAAACCACACAAGGCUCAAGAGGAUGCUUGGCGCUUGGAGCUCUGUCAGCUGCCUCGUUAUCGACGUGCAAUCCCUGUUGAGCCCACGACUGCCACAGCACUAACGCGUGCUUUCUACAGCAUCAAGCCGUCUUUCCAGUAUAUGUAUCCAGAGGGGUUGCCGACACAUUUGCUGUCCUGGACUUACCUUCUUGUGCCUCGCCGCAGUACCUGAUUACAGUAAGAGUGGAAUGCGGAAAGAUUCAUCCCUGUUGGCUUCGACGGCCUGGAAGCCUAUGACCAAGGAAGGGCCUCGUCCUAGAGGCCAGUCGGCCAGGCGUUCAAGGGGUUGACACCUGCCACGGUCACUGUCUGUAGAAUCUGCAGAAUCAUCAGCCGAUCAGCUUUAAAGUGAGAGCACUAUGUCCAGGAAGGAGUUUCACUGAGACGGCAAUUUACUCCACUCCGAUUCACAGACGAUCACUCCGUGCCGGGUGCAUCUGCGAGAAUAGGGGAUCAAACGUCAGUCGUGCAAUAAUCGUUCGUUUUUUGUUUCGAUCUACUCUGAUCGAGCCCCAGCGCUCCGCUGGCGGUCGAAUUUAGUCCUUCUCUCACGACAGCAGCACAGAUCAGCUCACCCACGAGCGAAUGCCCCAGCUUCUUGGUCAAAGCUGUCGAGACAAGCAGCAAGUUGUCGGCAAUAACACACAUGCGGUAGGGUUUUAAAGCACGUGUCGGAGGUGUACGCCGUGCGGAAGCUGAGGAUGGGGAUGACGUUGUUUGCAGAUACGAGUGUAGCGUCGUCGCA